rnacentral:lncRNA from 1 species
UUUUUUUGGGGGGGUCUUUUUGUCUUUUCCAGGGCAGCACCCAUGGUAUAUGGAGGUUCUCAGGCUAGGGGUCUAAUUGGAGCUACAGCUGCCGGCCUACACCGCAGCCACAGCAACUCGGGAUCCGAGCCGAGUCUGCAACCUGCACCACAGCUCACGGCAGCAUCAGAUCCUUAACCCAGUGAGCAAGGCCAGGGAUUGAACCUGCAACGUCAUGGUUCCUAGGUGGAUUCGUUAACCACUGCACCACGACAGCAACUCCUACAAUUUUACUUCUUAACAAUAAUUCUACUUCUAGGAAUUUAUGCUACUGGUGUAAUUAUUCAUAAAUAAGAUUUUUUAAAAUCCACUGCAGCAUUUUUUAAACAUCAAAGAAUUGGAAAUGAAUUGAACUUCAUCAGUAAAUCCUUAUUAAAGAAAGGAGAAAUAGUAUAUCUGCAAAGAGCAUGUGACACAGCCCUUUGAAAGGAAGAGGAGACUGGUUGAGAACAGUCCUGAAAGUCUGGAAGGGAACAGAGCACAGGGGCGGAGCCACAGGUCAGGCGCUCCUCCCCGCCAGUGGUAAGGGACACACACCCGAGGUGCUGACUUUGCAUCACACAUUCGGGAGUCCUGGCAGAGGCAGGAUUGGGUGGGGGUGAAGUGGCGCCUGAGGUUCGGGCGGAGGGAACCUUUUUCUCUACUCUCUUUAGCGCCCUUAGGGUUUUGUCAAAGUCAUCUAUCAUGUGCCCACUAACUCGCUGAUUCUUAAAGAGCCCUACCAAACGCAUCUAAGGCAUUUUCAGGACAUCAUCCUCGGAACACCACUCUCUAGGCUCCUCGCCUGUGACGUGGAAAGAGCCAUCCUCCGCGUGUCGCUGACAGUAACUCAACUUCAGCGGAGAUUUACUACUCUCAGCUCAAAUCGACCUUCCGAUUUUACCCAGAGCCCUCAGUGGCACCCUCCCUGGACUCGAGUCUAGUUGGGGCAUCAACUGCACUCGAGCCCUCUGGGUGCCGUUUAGCUGCCCUGAAACUGUGACAUCCCUGGAAGAGUGGCUCCCUGUGCGUCUCAGCGAUGGGAGCCGGGGCCCCGUCCCCAGUCUGUUCUUUCUGCUUGUUACCCCGCGUCCUUGAGCAACCAAUCCUGGGGGAACCUGAGAUUCCUGGUCCAGAGCAGUCACUGCAGCCCCGCCUCCCCACCCGGGGCCAGGUGCUCACACAACCGUGACAUUUUUCCAAGACGAAGUCCACGGGGAUGAGUGACUAGGGUGGAAGGUUCCUCUUGCACCCGGACAUCACCCAGGGCUGACCUGAUCGACCAGAAGGGUCAGGGACGUGGAAGCGGAGCCGGGAGACCCAGCUGAGCCCAAGCUGGACCAGCAUGUUCUCAGACCAGACCCAGCAGCCGCCCUGCCAGGGACUCCCUGGCCCAGAACACUGCCUGCAGCCAAGUCCCGAGGGGUCGCUGGCCUCCCUGCUGUUGUGCCAGAGGAAAGAGAAAUGAAGGAAGGGGCUAGAGAUGCCUGGCCCAUGUGUUACUGAGAAGGCGUGCCGUGAUGGAGAGACUAAGAUGCUGCCAUGCCGGGGAAGCCAGGAGGCGCUCUGAGAGGUGACGGGCUACACAGACACGAGGAAGGCACAGGCACCUGAGCCCCAGCACAGAGAUGAGCUCUCCGGUUGUCUCGACGGAACUGGUCUCUCAGGAGGCAACAUAAUAGGAAAUUCUUACAAAGUGCUUGGCCCAGGCCGGGCAUUGCUCUCCAUGCUUUAGAGACAACAGCGUCAGGGAGUUCUAGUUAGAGGACAGCUAGCCGUGGCCAGAACCAUGCUGGGCAACAAGCACGACUAAGUCCCAUCGGCAUGGACCGCAAGCACUUCCUUACCCCGUGUCUUGUGCAGGCGUCCCUGGUACGUAUACGUAAUUUAUUUUAUCAACAGUGCCCCUGGGCUACUACGUAACUUGAUUUCUGCACUGAAAACAUCACAGAACAUUGGCGUGGUCCUUCUGAAUGGCUGCGUGAUGCUAUGUUGUAUGGAUGCGCUGUAACAGCUUACAAACCACGCUCCUAUCAUUGAGAUGGUUUCCACUGGCCCUUAGGAGGGUACGGAUCGGACAGCGGUGUAUCCACCACUUUACACGAGUGAGCAUCUCUGCAGGUCACUGCCAAGAACGGAGACUGCUGAACAACAGCACCAGUUCCCUGCUUGUUUUGUUAAGCACGUCCUUUUGACCUUCCAGACAGAGCUGUGCCAAAAAUCAGCCCCACCAGGGCCGUCUUAUACCCAGUCUCUCCACACCCUUGACAAGCCAGACUCAUUCUGCUUGUUUUGGGAAAUGUGAGAAAUAAAAAUGAUCCUGUUUUAAUUUGCUUCUGUCUAAUUAUACUUAUGGUUUUUAUGCCAUAGUAUAUGUUGUAUUUUUCUUUUUUGCUCGUCGCCUUUUUUUCCUAUUGAUUUUCAGGAGCUGUUUACGUGUUGGGAUGUGAAUCAUCUGUCUAUUCUGGUUGCAAAUAUUUUCUUCUAGAGGCCUCUUGAGUUUUAACGUUUUUUGUGAUAUUCUCCUCAACCAUAAGCCUUUGUGUUUGAUGUUGAUAUACAUGUCCUUCCUUGAAGUCAUCUGACUUUUAACUCUUCCCUCAGAAGGCUUUUUAAAGCCCCAAUCACUCCUUUAUUUUCUUCCGCCCUAUUUGGGAAAUCGAAUGAAUUCCAUCACCACCUGUGCUAUCCCCAACUCAAAGACCAGCAGCCCCAGAGUCAUCACUUCCGGAUUCUGUUUUAGCAACAAUGCCUCUGCAUCCAACCUUGCGUUCCCAGACUGACAAAGCACUGGAAGAUGCAGAGAUGCUUCCCAGCCAGCUCUUCCACGUGGCAGAGCCCACCUGUGUCUGUGGAGUCUGCUCAGGCCCCUGUGGUGGCACUUAACCAGCCUCCAUCUUGCUGAGGACUGACCCGAGGACUUGGCUGGAGAACCUGGCCCCAGGGCUGAGAAAUCCUGGCACACAGUCCCAAGGUCAAGGACAGAAUUUCUCUCCGCAUCAGACCCCCGGAAACUGUUCUUGUUCCGUCAUCAGGAACAGCCUCCCACACUCUGCCCAACAACGCGAAGGAGAGGCAAAGCGGGACCAAAUUAUACAGCAAAGCUGGAAUAACUGACCUCAUGGACACGAAGCCUGAGUGGCUCCGUUCAGAGAGCAAUGGUCAUUCCAUCCUAAAAACAUAUCUGGGGAGAUCCAGAAGGCACAGCGGGUUGAGGAUCCAGCACUGCCACUGCAACAACUCGGGUCGCUGAUGUGGCACAGGUUCGAUCUCUGGCCCAGGAACUUCCACAUGCUGAGGGAAUGGCCCAAAACAAUACAAAUAAAAACAUAUCUGCAUUUGCAUCUACAUUCAGUAAUAAAAGAAUCACUACUGAUUUUUGUUUUUUAAUUUUUUUAACGAAUAGGAGUUGAUAGGUGGAUUUUUUCUUUAACGACUCAUAGGUGCUCAAUGGUAUGAAGAGCGUGCCAUGCUAUUUCUCUUCUGCGUCUUUCCCUGCUUAGCAAUCACUCAGCACUGGACACUAUUGUUAGCAAGCUUACUGAGUUUCUGAGUCUCGGUUCAGGUCUGAGCUGGUGUAACAUCCCCCAGAUCUGCUGCAGCUGUCCAAGGGAAGGCCCCUUGCUAUUCUGGGGCAGUCUUUGGUCUUUCUUUUCAACCCUUAUUAUCUGGAAAAUCUUUAAAUAAGUUCUAUAAAUGGAAGUUUCAGCUGCUUUUACGAAAAGUGACUUGGAUUAUAAGGGUUACAGGUCAUAAAUUUUCACUUGGAACCAACCCAUCCUGCAGGGUUGGACUCAGCCAUCAUACACCACAGACUGAAAAGUGGGAAGAAAACUCAACACUCUGCCUUCUGGACAGUACCAUGUACUGGCAUGUAUACGUGUACGCAAGCAUCCGCUUUGGAAGAUGGGAGAAGUACAGAGGCAGGGCAACAAGACAACCAACCAUGGCAGGAGUCCUGGCCCUCACUGGUUGAGGACAAACUCUGGGUAAAACACGACACCUGAGAUCAGCAACAGGUAACGACUGGCAAACAGAAUCUGGGGCUGGCAUCAGUUUUUGGUGGUUUCCAAUUUAGGAGCUGAAUUUCAGGGCUGUGGAUCCAAUUCACAUGUGGAGACAAGGAAAACACUGUGGGAUGCCAGGUAAACCAUCAGGAGAGGGACUAGGCUGGCGGGCUGAGGACGCUGGGACGAGCUUCCUUUAGCACGAGAGUUUACAAAAACUUCUCAAAGCAGUAUCUCCUGGGAACUUGCAUCAUCCCUAUGAGGCUGGGUUAUUGCUCUCUUUCCACAGAUGAGAAAAUCGAAUCUCAGCUGUUAAACCAACUCUCCCCCAAAGUAUAUAGCUGGUAAAUGAUAGAGUCUCAGACCCAGGCUUCCGAAUCAUCUCUGAAAUUUCCUUUGUGUCUGCGCUUUCAUCCUUGCUAGUAGAAGACACUACAAGGCCGGCCCUGUCGGGAGCACUUAGCCUAGGGCUGCAGCAGUGUGAGGGCAGGAGAAAACCCAUCCUCCCCCACCACGCACACAAUGGAGAACCACCUGAGUCCAACAAAUGGAGAUUAAAAUAUAACCCUCGCUGCUGAUAAAAUCUCGGUUAAAGAGUGUGAUUUUCCUUCUGCUGGGUAAGUGAGCUGGUUAUAUUGUUCCCUGGAUUGAACCUGCCCAGCUAGUUCCAGCCCCAGAUAAUCACCGUCCUUCUCAAAUGGAGGAAAGAUCGACCAAAGAAAAGAGGAAAAAAUUCAGGGGGGCAGUGCGGUGACUCACUCUGCCUGAGCCCGAGAGAGGGUGUCAGCCGUGGCUCAGGUGCGAGGCCCUCCUGGUGGAAACACACAGACCAGGAAGCCCUCUUUGAGCACGAGGCUGUGACUGCAGUCAGCGCCGAGUCGCACUCUGCAGGAUUAAUCACCAAGAGGGGUGACGCCCCUCUCAGGACCACCGACAACACACCACACUGGAGGAACCUGGGGACAAUGAGCAGGCCCAGGGAGAGCCCACGGGUUUUCAAGCAGGCUUACUUUAAACCCGUGAGGUAGCUGAAGACAAUGGGAGAGAAGGCUGGCCUCUCCCUCCAGCCUGUGCUGCGGCUCCAGGACCUGCCGCCCUGGGUCCCAGUUCUAGGGGCCUGGCCCGUCCCUUCCUCCAGCCGCCGCACACACACAUGCAGCUCCCGAGUCAGAGGCACACGGCCCGCUGCUGGGCUGCCUCCAGGCUGCGUGGGCUCUGCUCCCCGAAGCACCAGCUGUCCCCGGCCCGGCGCUCCAGGCACAAGCAGCUCCCUCGCAGAACCAGGGGCGUCUCUUCCUCAGUAACCCCACAGGCAGUUCCCACCUGCAUCCAGAAACCACACCUGCCUGCUGCUCACGGCCACGUGGAAACAGUUCUUUCUCGUACAUUCCUAUAAAAGACAGUCUUUCCAACCACUGCGUUUCUCUCCUCUUCCUAGGAAAUUUCUUCAAGUAUCUGAUUACAGGGCAAAGAGUGGGAAUAACUCCGUCACAGGAUAAAACUGUUCUAUUUUUUUUUUUUUUUUGUCUUUUCUGGGGCUGCACCAGCGGCAUAUGGAGGUUCCCAGGCUGGGGAUCGAAUGGGAGCUAUAGCUGCCGGCCUACGCCACGACCACAGCAAUGUCAGAUCCAAGCUGCUUCUGCAACCUACACCACAGCUCAGGGCAACGCCAGAUCCUCAACCCACUGAGCGAGGCCAGGGAUGGAACCCGCAACCUCAUAGUUCCUAGUCAGAUUCGUUUCCACUGCGCCACAACGGGAACUCUCCCUGCUUUUUUUUUUUUUUUUUAAUACUUCAAAGAAAUGUCAGUAAUGUUUGCUCAAAACUGUGGAAUUUAAUAAAAUAUUGCUUCACAUCAGAUUAUUUUGUUAAGUUUUUAGGGAAUCCCUUUAGAAAUAAAAUAUUAGGAACCUUAAGCAAAAGAUCAUAACCUAGCCCAGCACAUGUAGGAAUGUAGGAAUAUAUUUUAUUAUAAAUAUAUCUUCACUGAUCUGAAUCCAUGUGAAAAAGCAAGGAGUAAUAGUUUUGAUUUGUAACUGUACCAAUGAUUAUUUACCAAUUAACCUACCAUAAGAUUUUACUGACAGUGCUCAGCAGAGACCACAUUAAAGCCCUGACUUGGAGCAAGAAUGAAACGU